rnacentral:rRNA from 1 species
AUUGAACGCUGGCGGCAUGCUUUACACAUGCAAGUCGAACGGUAACAGGCCGCAAGGUGCUGACGAGUGGCGAACGGGUGAGUAAUGCAUCGGAACGUGCCCAGUCGUGGGGGAUAACGCAGCGAAAGCUGCGCUAAUACCGCAUACGAUCUAUGGAUGAAAGCGGGGGACCGUAAGGCCUCGCGCGAUUGGAGCGGCCG